GACGAACGCUGGCGGCGUGCUUAACACAUGCAAGUCGAACGGAAAGGCCCUGCUUUUGUGGGGUGCUCGAGUGGCGAACGGGUGAGUAACACGUGAGUAACCUGCCCUUGACUUUGGGAUAACUUCAGGAAACUGGGGCUAAUACCGGAUAGGAGCUCCUGCUGCAUGGUGGGGGUUGGAAAGUUUCGGCGGUUGGGGACGGACUCGCGGCUUAUCAGCUUGUUGGUGGGGUAGUGGCUUACCAAGGCUUUGACGGGUAGCCGGCCUGGGAGGGUGACCGGCCACAUUGGGACUGAGAUACGGCCCAGACUCCUACGGGAGGCAGCAGUGGGGAAUAUUGCACAAUGGGCGGAAGCCUGAUGCAGCAACGCCGCGGGCGGGAUGACGGCCUUCGGGUUGUAAACCGCUUUCGCCUGUGACGAAGCGUGAGUGACGGUAAUGGGUAAAGAAGCACCGGCUAACUACGUG
rnacentral:rRNA from 1 species